UUGUACUUUUUAUCGCUAUCAUGUGGUGUUCAAAUCACUUUAUGGACAAGAAUUAAAAAAACAUGAGCCCCGUUAUAUUUUAAGUAGGAUUUUGGGUCCUUAUCUUGACAAAUUUAUUAUGAUAAGUAACUACUAAUGUUAUAUUUACAUGGAUUUAUCCGCAAGAAAUAGAAAAAUAUGUCACCAGGAUGAAAGUACGGAGCAUUUUUAAACCAUAUGAGUAAAAAAGGUUCUAAUACCAGAAUAUUAGCAGCAAAACUUUCCCCGUUUCGAUUCGCGUGUACAGAUUUUCAGCUGAAGGCAAACAAAACAGCAAUUGAAUGGAAAGCCAAAUAGCUUUCCCGCUGACUUCUUAAAUCUCAGUAACAAUGUAAUGGAUUGAGGUACUGUCGUCAUGUCCUCAUAAACCUAUCGGCUGAACCACGGAAGUGGCCACAAUACUCCGCCUCUUCCUGUCUUACCUUUGGCAAAUUGAGCGAAGUUUUUUAAAUUUUUUGACAAGAACGUAUGGCUCGUGCCACUAUCAGCUGUCCCGUUCAACAUCCGCCGUGAAAUGCUUUUGCUUUCUUCUUCAAAUUUGUUUAGAUAAGUUCAUAAGGCUUAGUUUAGUGAUAAAAAUUAAUAUCACACUGUUUGAUAUAAAAAAUCCGCUGCAACUGCUUGUUUUGUAAUUUUUCUAGACCAAAUAAAUACUUAAAUGUAAAUAGUAUAAUAAUGAUUUGUUUUCAAUUGGUCAUUGAAAUAAUACAAAUUAUAUCAAAAAUCUUAAUUUACUUAGUUCAACCUUCUAGAUAAUGUUGAAUUGUUUUUUUAUAAACAGUUUGUUUACUUCGCAUACGAUUAUAGCCAGAAAUAUGGCAGUUUUUUAUAGCUUGUAGAUUUUCUUAAGAUUUUAUAUUGUUAUAUUUAAUUUAUCUGCAGCAUAAUUUUUUUCAAUCAUAAUCAUAAAAGAGCCUGAGCAUACAUGUAUGCAUUGUCUAAUAUUUAUAUAUAUUAAAAUCUUCCGUAUCACUAAAAGCGAUGUUAGCCACAGUGGCUUCAGCGCGCGACUAUCAUCCCUGAGGUUCGAUCCCCGGUUGUCCAUGAAUGGACUUCCUUUCUAUGUGCGUAUUUAGCAUUCGCUCAAACGGUUAAGGAAAGCAUAGUGACGAACCCUGCUUAGACCUGCCUUAGACCCUAAAAUUCGACGGCGUGUGUCAGGCUCGGGAGGAUCACCUACUCGCCUAUUAAAUUGAUAAAUGAUCAUGAAACAGAUACAACAAUCUGAGGCACAUACUAAAAAGGUUGUAGCGCCACUGAUUUAUUUUAUUACUUAAAAUAAGUUACUUUGCUUAAUUGCAUAUUGUUUGUUUUAUAGCACUACUUGUGAUUAAGCGAAAAAUUUGCAUUAAUAAAAAAAAACUGUAUUUAAUUAAUGUGGCAAUGACAUUACAGCCUAAAUAUUUUAUUUGUGUAUAUUCCAACCUUUAAAACUGCUAAAACUGUAAAUAUUUUAAAUAUUAUAUUAUUGUAGAAAUAUCAGUUUUUAAUAAACUACAACAUUCUAGAAUCCUCAAUUUAAUUAAAACAUAUAUGA